UACGAAGGGGGCGAGCGUUGCUCGGAUUUACUGGGCGUAAAGGGCGCGCAGGCGGCUAUCCAAGUCAGGCGUGAAAGCCCCGGGCUUAACCUGGGAGGUGCGUCUGGGACUGGGUGGCUAGAGUUCGGGAGAGGAGAGUGGAAUUCCCAGUGUAGAGGUGAAAUUCGUAGAUAUUGGGAAGAACACCGGUGGCGAAGGCGGCUCUCUGGACCGAGACUGACGCUGAGGCGCGAAAGCGUGGGGAGCAAACAGG
rnacentral:rRNA from 1 species